GAUGAACGCUGGCGGCGUGCCUAAUACAUGCAAGUCGAGCGAACGGACGAGAAGCUUGCUUCUCUGAUGUUAGCGGCGGACGGGUGAGUAACACGUGGAUAACCUACCUAUAAGACUGGGAUAACUUCGGGAAACCGGAGCUAAUACCGGAUGAUAUUUUGAACCGCAUGGUUCAAAAGUGAAAGACGGCCUUGCUGUCACUUAUAGAUGGAUCCGCGCUGCAUUAGCUAGUUGGUAAGGUAACGGCUUACCAAGGCAACGAUGCAUAGCCGACCUGAGAGGGUGAUCGGCCACACUGGAACUGAGACUCGGUCCAGACUCCUACGGGAGGCAGCAGUAGGGAAUCUUCCGCAAUGGGCGAAAGCCUGACGGAGCAACGCCGCGUGAGUGAUGAAGGUCUUCGGAUCGUAAAACUCUGUUAUUAGGGAAGAACAUAUGUGUAAGUAACUGUGCACAUCUUGACGGUACCUAAUCAGAAAGCCACGGCUAACUACGUG
rnacentral:rRNA from 1 species